rnacentral:rRNA from 1 species
UCGAGAAUCAUUCGCAAUGGGCGAAAGCCUGACGGUGCGACGUCGCGUGGAGGAUGAAGGUCUUCGGAUUGUAAACUCCUGUCAUGUGGGAUAAAUGGCCGGGGCACGAAUAGUGCCUCGGAAUGAUAGUACCACAGGAGGAAGAGGCGGCUAACUCUGUGCCAGCAGCCGCGGUAAUACAGAGGUCUCGCGCGUUGUUCGGAUUUACCGGGCGUAAAGGGAGCGUAGGCGGUUCGGUAUGU